UACGGAGGGUGCGAGCGUUGUCCGGAAUCAUUGGGCGUAAAGGGCGCGUAGGUGGCCCGGUCAGUUCGUGGUGAAAGCGCGGGGCUCAACCCUGCGUCGGCCAUGAAUACUGCCGCGGCUGGAGCACUGUAGAGGCAGGCGGAAUUCCGGGUGUAGCGGUGGAAUGCGCAGAUAUCAGGAGGAACACCGAUGGCGAAGGCAGGUCUCUGGGCUGUAACUGACGCUGAGGAGCGAAAGCAUGGGGAGCGAACAGG
rnacentral:rRNA from 1 species